UCCAGGUGAACUUGACAGGCCAAAGCCUCCCGGGAAGUAAUUGCUUUGGCCUUCGCAGCCGCCAAAGGAGCAGACUGAGCCACACGACUCUCCACUUGGCAGGUGGAGGAAAGUCGCCGGGGACCAUGGCUUCUGAUUUAUUCCACCGUCUGCACUGACUGCUUGAGACCUGGUGGAAGGCGCAGCGGCAGGAGCAGCUGAGGGAGAUUCCAGCGAGGCCCGGAUGCCUCGGAGGAGGUGAAUUACUGUCGUGU
rnacentral:lncRNA from 1 species